UACGUAGGGGGCAAGCGUUGUCCGGAUUUAUUGGGCGUAAAGCGCGUGUAGGCGGCCAGGUAGGUCCGUUGUGAAAACUCGAGGCUCAACCUCGAGACGUCGACGGAAACCAUCUGGCUAGAGUCGGACAGGGAGAGUCGAGGUACUCGGAUGUGAGCGGUGAAAUGACGCAGAUAUCAGGGAAGGAACACCCGGUGGCGAAGGCGGGCUCU
rnacentral:rRNA from 1 species